UGGGGAAUAUUGCACAAUGGGGGAAACCCUGAUGCAGCAACGCCGCGUGAAGGAAGAAGGCCUUCGGGUUGUAAACUUCUGUUAAUGGGGACGAUAAUGACGGUACCCAUAGAGGAAGCCACGGCUAACUACGUGCCAGCAGCCGCGGUAAUACGUAGGUGGCGAGCGUUGUCCGGAAUUACUGGGCGUAAAGGAUGCGUAGGCGGAUAAUUAAGUGAGAUGUGAAAUACCCGGGCUUAACCUGGGGGGUGCAUUUCAAACUGGUUGUCUAGAGUGCAGGAGAGGAAAGUGGAAUUUCUAGUGUAGCGGUGAAAUGCGUAGAUAUUAGGAAGAACACCAGUGGCGAAGGCGACUUUCUGGACUGUAACUGACGCUGAGGCAUGAAAGCGUGGGGAGCAAACAGG
rnacentral:rRNA from 1 species